GGACAGUGGGGGGACUCAAAACGGAGGACAGUGGGGGGACUCAAAACGGUCAGUGGGGGGACUCAAAACGGAGGACAGUGGGGACACAAACUAGAUGACGGGGAAACACAAAAAAAUAAUUAUUUGACCACAGCGCCGUGGUGUUAAAGGGCUUUGAUCUCCGUUGCCAUGGCGCUUGGCUGAGCUGCCGGUCAGUUCACUGGGCACUUCCUGUUUCCUCUCAUUCUUUUUCAACAUGUCUGACGAACCGAGCAUAAUGAGUACUGUCCAAUCUGGGGGGAAAAAACGGGACGAGCUGUUACACACACACACACACACACACACACAAAGUGCACAGGAAUACUGUAUACAUAGGUUUUUGUUUUUUUGCAAUAUCGCUGAUGGUUUCAGCGUUUAUAGGUCAAAGGUCAGGUUUAUAAAUGUGGCGAAGCGUCCACAUAAAGCAAUAAACAUUUCUAUUCGUAUUUAUCACGAGCGUGCAACGUGUUUUGGCGGUGUAUUAGGGUGCUCUGUGCUCGAUUAGCUCUUAGCUUGCUUUAUUCUUUUUUUUUUGGCAGAAUUAAUCCUAAAAAAUAAUUGCGAUGCCUUCAUCCAAUUUACGAACUUGUGAACCGAUCAGUUCCUAUGCAUUGAAAAGCCUGAUUGAUUAAAAAAAAAAAGCGAGGGCUACUUUUAUGUUUUAUAAGUCAAAAAUGAAAUAAAUAAAGAGUUGGUGUGGGUUUGUACUGGGAUGCAUUUUAUCGGAAAUCAAGCCUAAUUGCAUGUUAGCAUUAGAAUUAGCAAGACUAAAGUAGAUCUUGUAUUUAAAAAAAUAAAAUAAAAUUGUAAAAAUAAAAUUUUCAAACACAAUUUCUUAGAUUUAUGGCAUGAAAAGUGUCGAGUACGACAGCCUGAGUAGUGCAAAAGAUUUCUAAAAAUGUACUGGAUGUCUAACAAGACCAUGAAUUAUUAUUAUUAUUAUUAUUAUUAUUAUUAUUAUUAUUUACACGACAGAUGAAAGAACUUUCUAUCUCUUUCAAUCUCAAGCUAGCAAAGAACGAUGGAUGAAAGAGGCAGGAGUUUUGCAUAAUUUCCUGAUAACAGCUGCUAAUUUUUGCUCCACUUGUGGAAUAAACAACCUCGUAACUAUGCUAGCUGGCUACCGUUCACUUUUGGUCAAAAGGAAUUUGGUCUUGCUUAUUUUUUUGCCCAGCUAUUUUUUUUUAAUCCUGCUAGCUAGCAAACCGUAACACUCUCCAGCUAGCUGAUUAGCUUUACACGGGGCAUUCAAAAUAAUUCUAGUAUACGAUAAUACGUGGCCUGUCUGGACAUCCGUAGUUUGUUUUGUUUUUUUAUUUACAAAUAGGUCAUGAUGUUACAAGCGACGGUUUUUCAGGUCAGUUUAUUUCUAUAUUUUGUUUCGAUUUUUUCAAAGCGUGCAUUUGAGAAAUAUCAAAUUGUAAACGUUUUACUGCGUGUGAUCAGGCCGCGGUGUGUGGUGCAUUAGUGCAUAUUAUUAUUAUUAUUAUUAUUAUUGUUAUUAUUAUUAUCAUUGUUAUUGAACUCCUCUCCAUUACAUGAACAAAGGCGUGUUGGUCAAUUAACGUUUACUUUACUCACCCACGAUACACCUGCACAGGGAGUGAUGAGGUCACGCGUUGAGCUGAAGCGAAAAUGACUUCUAGAAAGGUCUCGGCUGUGUUCCAAAUACAAAGUGAUGAAUGUUUUCCAGUAGUUAUGAUAUGAAGUGUUUAUUGUGGUGCUCGCUCGACCAUUUAGUGAGGACCGGCGUAGACACUUGGUAGGGAGACUAGUUUAUUAUAAAUGAAGCAGGCAGUAACACUCGACGUUUAGGCCGUGGCUUUGUGCGUGAGAACAUUUCAGGACGCCGUCCUUUAGCAACAUUAAGAAAAACAUAGUUCCGGCUCAAAUCAAAACUGGAAUACUGAGUAUUUCAAAACUUUUGUGUUUAUUUUAGAAGCUGAAGGCAAAUUCGUAUGUCCCGAGUGAGAAGUUUGCGAAAUGUCCAUGCCUUUGUUCCAGGUCCAAACUGGAAAAGACUGGAAAGAUCUGCGCUCAAGUGUUUUAACUGAGAGAGAGAGAGAAUUGAAUAUAAUGCUCGCUCGACCGUUUACCCGGAUACUUUCAUGCAAUGGUGCUUUUGAACAGAGUGAUAACAAUGAUGUUAGUGAUACACCGCCAGCAGUGUUCCAAAUCGGAGCUGGAACCCUCAUGUGCCAUGUGUUCAAGACUUGAAAGAGGAAAAAAUAUGAUGCUUGUUGUGGAUUUCGAGUUGCUGUUUAAAGCUUGUUUUAAGCUCCGGAUUUCAGGCUGCGUUCCAAGUCAAAAACUGGAAAUCUCGGUGUGUACUUGAUGAUGGUGAGGAUUGUAAAAGGUGUUUUUUAAAACGUUUCAGAUAGUGAUAUAUGUAUAUUUUCACAUUUUUACAAAGGAGGGGAUUUGAGAAGACGAAGUCGUCACGUUUCAACCAUUUUGAGCGUGAUUAUUAAACUGUACUGCUCAUAUUGUUGUCUGCUGUUGUUGUUGUUUUUUUUUUUUUUUAUAGUCAUUGGUGGAAAUCAGAUUGAGAUUCAGAAGGUUUACCGAGAACGUGACGCUCCAGCUUAGCGUAAAUGCAACGGACACUCCAUGUUUUCUACGUAUUUUAAAAGACGAGCGCUCUGAUCGUGUCACGUUUUAACUCCUGAAUCUUUUUUUUUUUUUUUUUUGAGUAUGUUCUUCCCAGCUGUUACUCCCGAUGCAGCAUGCUAACGCUAAAUGCUAGCCACUCUUUGGAUGUUGGGAUACGCACAUGACGUCUGUUCUUUCCUCAGCGGUUUACAGCGAUGCAACAGACUGGACAAUAUCAUCUCAUUGCAUCGCAUCAGCGUCACGUGGGUUCACGUUUAUUCUCAUGUAAUUAGCAAAGCAAGGCUAACACGAGCGUAGAAACAGGACUACGCGUGCAUCAGAUUGCGGCGCCGCGGUUUAUAUUAUCGCUCUUGCAACCGAAAAGACGGAUGUGCGCGGCGAUUGUUACAAUUUACAAAUGUUACAGAGUGCACGCUAGCUCAGAGGCACCAGCAUUGCUAAAGAACACAAUUUUAACACAAACCAUGUAGCGUAUUUCAAUUCCGUGCUAAAGGUUGGCCGGAAAUGUGCUUUUUACAGACGAUUGACUCCUCAGCCCCGCCCUCUUUUUAAAAAUAAAUAAAUAAAUAAAUAAAAAAGUCGGUUGACAAAAUUGAUUUCUGUGAAUUUGCAGAGCAAAGAAAAGCAUCUUUCACGUCUUGCGUCCUUUCAGAGAAUCUGCUUUCCUUAGUUUCAGCUGUCUCCAGAUUGAGAGUCAUAUUUGCUAAGGAUAAAUGGCGGAGCCUCUGCUAGCAAAGCGACUUGUCGCACUUGUGGGCGUGGCCUGCUAUUUAAGGUCAAAAUGGUGAUAGCCAGAACUUACUGCCUGCAUUUAUAUUUUAUAUUAAUUUAUAGCGUGAAAAUUGAGACGUUACACGCACUUUAUAGUUACACGUCGCUAGUGUGAACUUUACUGAUUAACAUUGGUCAGUUUCCCGCAGGUAGCACUGGAUUAUGAAACUGAACACGGUCACAUGGUGCAUUUCAAAACAGCCAAUCAGAGCCUCCCAAUCCAGCUGGUUAUCGUGUAACACGAUUCAGAAUGUAAUCAGCGUUUUACAGAUUUUACUACCUGUUUACGGCUGCUUUCACACUCCGGCUCACGUGACGUGCUCUCUGUAACCAUGGCAACAUGCUUACUAGUCCUAGCUGUAGUAGCUAGUCCAGUAUUGGCUAACUAGCCUGGCUAGCUCCGUGGAAUAUGUUUAUUAUUUGUUAUAUUGGGAAUGUAGAUGAAGUAAGG
ensembl:lncRNA